GACGAACGCUGGCGGCGUGCUUAACACAUGCAAGUCGAACGAUGAAGAAGAGAAACGCGAACUUCGGUUCAAAUUUCACUUCGGAUUAGUGGCAGACGGGUGAGUAACGCGUGAGCAACCUACCUCUUACAAAGGGAUAGCCUCGGGAAACCGUGAUUAAUACCAUAUGACACAUUCAUAAGGCAUCUUAAGAAUGUUAAAGCUACGGCGGUAAGAGAUGGGCUCGCGUCCCAUUAGCUAGUUGGUGAGGUAACGGCCCACCAAGGCGACGAUGGGUAACCGGCCUGAGAGGGUGAACGGUCACAUUGGAACUGAGACACGGUCCAAACUCCUACGGGAGGCAGCAGUGGGGAAUACUGCACAAUGGAGGGAACUCUGAUGCAGCGACGCCGCGUGAGCGAUGAAGGAAUUCGUUUCGUAAAGCUCUGUUCUAUGGGAAGAAAAGGACUGUACCAUAGGAGAAAGCCCCGGCUAAAUACGU
rnacentral:rRNA from 1 species